rnacentral:rRNA from 1 species
GGUUCCGACCCCGAAAGGGGAAGGUAACCCCAUAAACCCGGUCUCAGUUGGGAUUGAGGGCUGCAACUCGCCCUCAUGAACACGGAAUCCCUAGUAAUCGCGGGUCAACAUCCCGCGGUGAAUACGUCCCUGCUCCUUGUACACACCGCCCGUCGCUCCACCCGAAUCCGCUUCGGGUGAGGCUUCGUCCUCCGGGCGAGGUCGAACUUGAAGCGGGUAAGGGGGGAGAAGUCGUAACAAGGUAGCCGUAGGGGAACCUGCGGCUGGAUCACCUCCU